rnacentral:lncRNA from 1 species
AGAGCUGUGAUGCAGUCCACAGGACAGACACUUUUGGACUCUCAAGACCAGAAGCGUCCUCUCUGGGACUAUCCUGGCAGGAGUUCUGGUUCCAGAGAAGGCAGUGUUCCUGCCAGGAGCCACAACAAAUAUUGCAUUGAACUGGAAACUUGGACGUCCCCUGAUAAAUUUGGGCUUCUAAUGCCCUUAAACCAACAGGUUCCGAAAGAACAACAGUGUGGAGAAAUUGAUCCAGAUUACCAUGGGAAAUUGGAUUGCUUCUACAAUGGAGACGCUCAUAUGAGAAGCUUUUGCUUUUUGACUGUUUACUCUGACCUCACAAGCAAGCAUCUUCCUUCCCUGGCAUUAGAGCACACUUCUUCAGGAUUCCAGCAUAUACUGAAGACCAGCCAAGACAUGCAGAUUCAUGGACUGAACAACUACUGAAUUCUUUGAUCUGUUCAUAGGCAGCCUUUAUUGGAUUAGCUUGACCAUAGCCUGUAAGUCAUUCUAAUAAAUCCUCU